UACGUAGGGUGUGAGCGUUGUCCGGAAUUAUUGGGCGUAAAGGGCUCGUAGGCGGUUUGUCGCGUCGGGAGUGAAAUCCACUGGCUUAACUGGUGGCUUGCUUUCGAUACGGGCAGACUGGUGGUAUGCAGGGGAGAACGGAAUUCCUGGUGUAGCGGUGAAAUGCGCAGAUAUCAGGAGGAACACCGGUGGCGAAGGCGGAUCUCUGGGCCGAUACUGACGCUGAGGAGCGAAAGCGUGGGGAGCGAACAGG
rnacentral:rRNA from 1 species